CUGGCUCAGCCCUGGCUGCCGGGCAGCGUUUUGCCCUCCCUUGGCCAGGCUUUCCCCGGGGCUCUCGCCCGCCCGCCCGUGGCUGAAGGGCUCAGCCGGGCCCGGCCCUGGGGCCGCUGCAGCCGCCGGCACCGCCUGGGGCCGGGCCGGGCAACCCUGGCACCUGGGCACUUAAACCCUGUUCAGAGGAGGAAGGAGGCCAACAACUGACCAUUACCAGAAUGGAUGCCAUGGCAGUUCAGACCAGCUGCUGGGAUAUGCCACUGGCUUGUGACAGAGUUACAGUGAGGUCCAAAAGAUGAGACAUGAAAUAAAUGAGAAAUUAUGAUGAAAGCAAAAUUUCCAUAAAGGCUGAACUUUCCAAGAAUCAUCAUGGUCAUUCAGAAAAUGUUUCAGUAGAUAAUGACUGUCCUCUAAAAUGUUUUGUUUUUUUUCUUUCUGAAGCAUUUUGUUCUUGUAAUUGCUUCAAAGGUACUUAAGAUUCAAGCAGACAAAGAAUGGGAUUCUGCCUCUUUCCAGUUCUGCACUGCAUGUGAAAGUACCUGCCCUCAACAAGGAGCAGUUUAAUGCAUUAUGUAUGAGAGAAUUUAGCAAAGUGGAAAUUAGGGUAUACAGUAGGAACAUUUGAAAAUUAAAGCACCCGGCCAUUUUAAUGAAUAGAAUUUUACAUAGCUGUAUUGGGAAAAGAUAUAUUAAACAGAAUAUGUUUUUAAUAUUGAAGUACAAAUGCAUUUUAUACAGUGGGAAUAUAGGAUAUGUUUGUAUCUAUUUUCUUGGUGGAAUACUAUGUGAUGGCAUGGCUCAGUAAAAAAUCCUGUCCCUGCUCAGGAGUCCAGAAAUUUUUUUGAAGAGAAAAAUUAUUUUCAUGUUUAAUAGUGAAAUUUUUCUUAG